rfam:Trichosporon asahii var. asahii CBS 8904 unplaced genomic scaffold scaffold00049, whole genome shotgun sequence.
GGCAAGAUGGCCGAGCGGUCUAAGGCGCUGUGUUCAGGUUACCCUCUUCCUCGAAAAUGAUCGAGCGGGGUGGAUCGUCGCAGUCUUCGGGCGUGGGUUCGAAUCCCACUCUUGUCA